CUGGGCUCCAGCUUGUGAUCCUACCGCCUUAACCUCCAAAGUAGCUGGGACUGCCAGUAUAGGCCCCAUGUCCAGCUAGAGCUAUGGAUUUCUAAGGCAGGUUUGGGGUACCAGCUCUUCUACACUGGAUUUAAAAUUUCAUACAUUUCCUUAGCAAAAACAGAAAUCCUUCAGUUCCGAGGUCAGCGAUGUUGCCUGCCUCACCCACAGGCUCAGUGGGGAUGCCCUCCACCCGGGCCAGCGCUGCUAGGACAAAGGUGACGAAGCCGGAUUGAUCAGAUUGUACAGCAUUUCCGGUCAGAGGCGGGAUAGGACAGUGGUGAUGGCUUCCCUUCUAUCUUCCAGACACCAGCGGGGCCAGCACUGGUUGUCAGGAUGCUGAUCAGCUGUUUUGUCAGGCACAGGUGUAUUUCUCGGGCAGGUGUGUGUGCGUGCGUACAUGGACACGAGCGAGGCGGAGACAGGAGAACCUGGCACGAGACUGUGUGCCGGCCUGGUAAGAUGUCCUCCCGCUAACUCAAAGGCACGGGCUGCCACCAGUGCAGACGCUCUUGGGAAACGACCUAACCUUUCUUUGGGAGAAGAAGGACAGUUUGCUUCUAGUUUAAGACUUCUUUCUGAGUACCAGACAGGUUUGCUCUUCCCAUCGGUUGCCAUGAAAUGCCAUUAACCUUUAAAAGGCUGCCGGAGCUUCCCCAGCUGGAGAGUUCACGGGAAGACAAAGCUCCCAUCUGUGCGUGGUGGCGGCGGCGGUGGGCCAGGGACAGGGAGGCAGCGCUGCCCUCCGCAUCAGAAGCCAGGCCCUGGUCCACUGGGCAGCAGUGUGGCCACCUGGAGUCAUCCACACUUGGGGCAGGGCUGGGCGUCUCGGGGAAACCUCCAGAUGUGUAGCCAAGACUCUGUUUUCCUCAAGGCCUGGUGAAACAUAAAAUUGCUUGUGAAAAAAAAACACAAGCUGUAAGCAAAGGUUAUGCUGCUGACUGAAGCAGCGGUCAUUCAGAUCUCCAAACGCCCGAAGUAAGAUGCAAGAAUAAAGACGAGCUCACACCACACGAGUUGCUGCUAAGUGACCCAUUCGGUUGCGGUCUGGGCACACACUCUGUUAUUCCGCUGCCGGGCCAGCGUCGGGGUCGUACACAUCAUCACUCGCCUGACAGGUGAUCAGGGCUGUUAUCCAGGCCUGGCGAUGCAGGGCUGCCCACGAAUUGCGACUAAUAAGGCUUUGAUGACACAUUCUGUCAUGGAGUCCGUGGGAAAGGAGGCCCUCCAACAUGCCGCAAGGACAGAGGAGACAACUCAUUUUGAGGGCAAUUUUGUCAACAUGACAAAUGGCAGUUUAUUUACUCUUGACCCGGUUAUCCUACUUCUGAGAAUUUACCCUGGAGAUAUACAGUAGGGAAUGACACUCACACGAGGUGAUUCCCUGCUACACUGACUGUGAUAGUGAGUGUUUCAUACACAGGGGUUCGUGUACAGGGGGAUGAAUGAACAGACGACAGGAAGCCAUCAGAGAGGGAAAUACAGGUGCUGUCCAUGUGUAAGGGGACUCCAGCUGAACAGCCUACCAUCAGAUGAAAAUAUCCUAAGGGAAAAAUGCCUGGACUCCACCUAAGCUAGAGUCACACAGCUCAGCGACACAGCACCCUGUGACAACGUGCUUCCCUGGUGAUCCUGUGACGGCCUGGAGCCUCAGCUCUUACCAGCUUCAGAGGAGAGGACUGGACCACAGAUCACCCGCUUGGGAACAGGGCGACAUUCGAAGUUCAGUCACAGUUCCCACCGAAUGCAUAUUGCCUGUGUCUCCAGGCAAACUCCAGAAAUCUGAAGUCAAACCCUUAAAUCAGGGCCAUCCGGGUUCUGCAGCCGGGAAACGGAGGGGCCGGCUCCGUGCUGAAACGGAGAGGGUUCCAUGGGGCGAACACCAGGAAGCAGAAGGAGUAAGAACGCUGUUAGUGUUUGUGUAAAGUACUACAGAGGCGCACAAGAAAUCAAAGCAGUGACCGGGAGGGGGAGCAGUGCAGAGCCAGCGAAAGGGGGUGGAAAGGACGGUGGGGAACGAUUCCCCAAGGAGUACUUGUAAAUGUCAGCCUAGCCCGGUAUUAGUGAUCCGUUACCCUAACAACGGCAACAACAGAGAUGGUUCCGUCUCCCCACGAGUCCGAAGCUCUAAAAUAUCAGUAGAGUACAGACCAGAGAUUCCACCUGACAGCCCGAGGCAUGGAGCUGGUCAGCCGCACAGUGGGUGCUGUCAGGGCCACGAGCCAGGGGGCCAGAACCCAGGCCGAGGAUACCUCAGAGCCUGAGCAAGAACCCUCAAAGUACUUUCCUUCAGGUUUUAUCUCUCGUUGCUCUGCAAGUGAUCACAAUAGAAAUUUCAGAGAUGAACCGACCUUUUCCUUCAUAGUUUUCUCAACAUAUCCUCGUAUUCCUCCAGCAUGGGAGAAAUAGCAAGAACCUUCUCAAAUCACCAGAAGACCUAGAUAGGCCAAGCAUCCUCAUCUACAAUGUUCCAAAGUCUGAAACUGAGCGCUGAUAGACGGCCAAGUGUGAAAAAUCCCAGAAUGUGAAACUGUUUCAUGCACAAAAUUGUGAUAAAUAUUACAUAGAGUGACAUUCAUGUUAUAUAUAAAGUGUGUAUGAACUUAAGUCUCAGCUCUACAGUAUCUCGUUAUAUUUAAAUGCAGACAUUCAAAAAAUGAAAUCAGAAACACUUCUGGACCCAAGAAUUUUGGAUAAGAGUCAUUCAUCCUGUACU